UGAGCCGGCCGGGUGGCCGCGGCGUGGUCCGCCACGCUGAGGAAGGUCGGGGCUCCAGAGGACAGGAUGCUGGCUAGCGGCCAGUCGGGGCGACCCGCAGGAAAGUGCCACAGAGAACAGACCGCCGAUGACCCGGUUCCUCUCCCCACGGGGUGAAGAUCCGGGUACAGGUGAGGGUGAAACGGUGCGGUAAGAGCGCACCAGCGGCCGGGGCGACCCGGGCGGCUAGGCAAACCCCAUCCGGAGCAAGGCCGAACAGGGAGAGGGCGGUCCGCCCGUUGACACUCCCAGGUGGGCCGCACAGAUGGAUGGCCACACAACCGGAGUCCCGCAAGGGUCCGGUGGACAGAACCCCGCCUACAGGCCGGCUCACCGU
rnacentral:RNase_P_RNA from 2 species